AGAGUUUGAUCCUGGCUCAGGACGAACGCUGGCGGCGUGCUUAACACAUGCAAGUCAAGGAGAAAGUUUUCUUCGGAAAAUGAUUAAACUGGCGCACGGGUGAGUAUUAUGUAAGUAAUCUACCCUAGGGAUGGGGAUAACGUCGAGAAAUUGGCGCUAAUACCGAAUAAUUCAACGUCAUCGCAUGGUGAUGUUGUUAAAGCUGCUUCGGUAGCACCUUAGGAUGAGCUUGCAUCUGAUUAGCUUGUUGGUAGGGUAAUGGCCUACCAAGGCUACGAUCAGUAGCUGGUCUGAGAGGAUGAUCAGCCACACUGGAACUGAGACACGGUCCAGACUCCUACGGGAGGCAGCAGUGAGGAAUAUUGGGCAAUGGACGAAAGUCUGACCCAGCAACGCCGCGUGGGGGAUGAAUGCCGUAAGGUUGUAAACCCCUUUUGUGAGGGAUGAAUAUCCACUAUUCGCAAGGGUAGUGGCCUGACCGUACCUCACGAAUAAGCUCCGGCUAACUACGUGCCAGCAGCCGCGGUAAUACGUAGGGAGCAAGCGUUGUCCGGAUUUACUGGGUGUAAAGGGUGCGCAGGCGGGUCAGUCAGUCAGAGGUGAAAUCUCACGGCUUAACCGUGAAACUGCCUUUGAUACUGCUGAUCUUGAGUAUGGAAGAGAGAGACGGAAUUCCAGGUGUAGUGGUGAAAUACGUAGAUAUCUGGAAGAACACCAGAGGCGAAGGCGGUCUCUUGGUCCAUUACUGACGCUGAGGCACGAAAGCGUGGGGAGCGAACAGGAUUAGAUACCCUGGUAGUCCACGCCGUAAACGAUGAACACUAGGUGUUGGGUUUUUAACUCAGUGCCGCAGCUAACGCAUUAAGUGUUCCACCUGGGGAGUACGAUCGCAAGGUUGAAACUCAAAGGAAUUGACGGGGGCCCGCACAAGCAGUGGAGCAUGUGGUUUAAUUCGAUUCAACGCGAAGAACCUUACCUGGGCUUGAAACGCAGUGGACCGGUUGUGAAAGCAACCUUCUCUUCGGAGUCGCUGUACAGGUGCUGCAUGGCUGUCGUCAGCUUGUGCCGUGAGGUGUUGGGUUAAGUCUCGCAACGAGCGCAACCCUUACCAUUAGUUGCCAUCAAGUAAUGUUGGGCACUUUAAUGGGACUGCCUACGUAAGUAGUGAGGAAGGUGGGGAUGACGUCAAGUCAGCAUGGCCCUUACGCCCAGGGCUACACACGUGCUACAAUGGGUGUCACAACGGGUUGCCAAGCCGCAAGGUGGAGCUAAUCCCUUAAAGGCAUCCUCAGUUCGGAUUGGAGUCUGCAACUCGACUCCAUGAAGCCGGAAUUGCUAGUAAUCGCGCAUCAGCACGGCGCGGUGAAUACGUUCCCGGGCCUUGUACACACCGCCCGUCAAGCCAUGGAAGCCGGGGGUACCCGAAGUCAGUGACUCAACCGCAAGGAGAGAGCUGCCUAAGGUAAAACUGGUAACUGGGGCUAAGUCGAAACAAGGUA
rnacentral:rRNA from 1 species